rnacentral:rRNA from 1 species
GUGUCAGCAGCCGCGGUAAAACCAGCACCUCAAGUGGUCAGGAUGGUUAUUGGGCCUAAAGCAUCCGUAGCCGGCUCUGUAAGUUUUCGGUUAAAUCUGUACGCUCAACGUACAGGCUGCUGGGAAUACUGCAGAGCUAGGGAGUGGGAGAGGUAGACGGUACUCGGGAGGAAGUGGUAAAAUGCUUUGAUCUCUCGAUGACCACCUGUGGCGAAGGCGGUCUACCAGAACACGUCCGACGGUGAGGGAUGAAAGCUGGGGGAGCAAACCGGAUUAGAUACCCGGGUAGUCCCAGCUGUAAACUAUGUAAACUCAGUGAUGCACUGGCUUAUGGCCAGUGCAGUGUUGCAGGGAAGCCGUUAAGUUUACCGCCUGGGAAGUACGUACGCAAGUAUGAAACUUAAAGGAAUUGGCGGGGGAGCACCACAAGGGGUGAAGCCUGCGGUUCAAUUGGAGUCAACGCCAGAAAUCUUACCCGGAGAGACAGCAGAAUGAAGGUCAAGCUGAAGACUUUACCAGACAAGCUGAGAGGUGGUGCAUGGCCGUCGCCAGCUCGUGCCGUGAGAUGUCCUGUUAAGUCAGGUAACGAGCGAGAUCCCUGCCUCUAGUUGCCACCAUUACUCUCAGGAGUAGUGGGGCGAAUUAGCGGGACCGCCGCAGUUAAUGCGGAGGAAGGAAGGGGCCACGGCAGGUCAGUAUGCCCCGAAACUCUGGGGCCACACGCGGGCUGCAAUGGUAACGACAAUGUGUUCCGAAUCCGAAAGGAAGAGGUAAUCCUCAAACGUUACCACAGUUAUGACUGAGGGCUGCAACUCGCCCUCACGAAUAUGGAAUCCCUAGUAACUGCGUGUCAUUAUCGCGCGGUGAAUACGUCCCUGCU